UACGAAGAGGGCGAGCGUUGUUCGGAAUUACUGGGCGUAAAGGGCGCGCAGGCGGCUCAUCAAGUCAGAUGUGAAAGCCCCGGGCUCAACCUGGGAACUGCAUUUGGGACUGAUGAGCUAGAGUUCGGGAGAGGUGGGUGGAAUUCCCAGUGUAGAGGUGAAAUUCGUAGAUAUUGGGAAGAACACCAGUGGCGAAGGCGGCUCACUGGUCCGGUACUGACGCUGAGGUGCGAAAGCGUGGGGAGCAAACAGG
rnacentral:rRNA from 1 species